UACGUAGGGUGCAAGCGUUGUCCGGAAUUAUUGGGCGUAAAGAGCUCGUAGGCGGUCUGUCGCGUCUGCUGUGAAAACCUAGGGCUUAACUCUGGGCGUGCAGUGGGUACGGGCAGGCUAGAGUGCGGUAGGGGAGACUGGAAUUCCUGGUGUAGCGGUGAAAUGCGCAGAUAUCAGGAGGAACACCGGUGGCGAAGGCGGGUCUCUGGGCCGUAACUGACGCUGAGGAGCGAAAGCAUGGGAGCGAACAGG
rnacentral:rRNA from 1 species